rnacentral:rRNA from 1 species
GACGAACGCUGGCGGCGUGCCUAAUACAUGCAAGUAGAACGCACAGUUUAUACCGUAGCUUGCUACACCAUAAACUGUGAGUUGCGAACGGGUGAGUAACGCGUAGGUAACCUGCCUGGUAGCGGGGGAUAACUAUUGGAAACGAUAGCUAAUACCGCAUAAUAUUGAUUAUUGCAUGAUAAUUGAUUGAAAGAUGCUAUUGCAUCACUACCAGAUGGACCUGCGUUGUAUUAGCUAGUAGGUGAGGUAACGGCUCACCUAGGCGACGAUACAUAGCCGACCUGAGAGGGUGAUCGGCCACACUGGGACUGAGACACGGCCCAGACUCCUACGGGAGGCAGCAGUAGGGAAUCUUCGGCAAUGGACGAAAGUCUGACCGAGCAACGCCGCGUGAGUGAAGAAGGUUUUCGGAUCGUAAAGCUCUGUUGUAAGAGAAGAACAGGUGUGAGAGUGGAAAGUUCACACUGUGACGGUAUCUUACCAGAAAGGGACGGCUAACUACGUG